rnacentral:rRNA from 1 species
GGGUUACACUGUCUCCUUUUUCUAAUCAGUGAAACUGAUCUCCCCGUGAAGAAGCUGGGAUUUUUAUAUAAGACGAGAAGACCCCAUGGAGCUUUAAAUUAUUUACUUACUUUAUGUGAAUACACCAACAAAACUAAAAAAAUCUGAGUAUCAUUUUAGGUUGGGGCGACCACGGAGUAUAAUUAAACCUCCACAACAAACAGACCACACCUUUACCUGCGAGCUACAUCUCUAAGAAUUAACAUAUUAAUGUUUUAUGACCCGAAUAUUCGAUCAAUGGACCAAGUUACCCUGGGGAUAACAGCGCAAUCUAUUUCAAGAGUCCUUAUCGACAAAUAGGUUUACGACCUCGAUGUUGGAUCAGGGUACCCGAGUGGUGCAGCCGCUACUAAUGGUUCGUUUGUUCAACGAUUAAAACCCUACGUGAUCUGAGUUCA